AUUGAACGCUGGCGGCAUGCUUUACACAUGCAAGUCGAACGGUAACAGGGAGCUUGCUCCGCUGACGAGUGGCGAACGGGUGAGUAAUAUAUCGGAACGUACCCAAGAGUGGGGGAUAACGUAGCGAAAGUUACGCUAAUACCGCAUACGAUCUAAGGAUGAAAGCAGGGGAUCUUCGGACCUUGUGCUCCUGGAGCGGCCGAUAGCUGAUUAGCUAGUUGGUGAGGUAAAGGCUCACCAAGGCAACGAUCAGGAGCUGGACUGAGAGGACGACCAGCCACACUGGAACUGAGACACGGUCCAGACUCCUACGGGAGGCAGCAGUGGGGAAUUUUGGACAAUGGGCGCAAGCCUGAUCCAGCAAUGCCGCGUGAGUGAAGAAGGCCUUCGGGUUGUAAAGCUCUUUUGUCAAGGAAGAAACGGGAGUGGCUAAUAUCCAUUCCUAAUGACGGUACCUGAAGAAUAAGCACCGGCUAACUACGUGCCAGCCGCCGCGGUAAAAC
rnacentral:rRNA from 1 species